GUUGUAUGGUUAAGUGACUAAGCGUACACGGUGGAUGCCUUGGCAGUCAGAGGCGAUGAAAGACGUAGUAACUUGCGAUAAGCCCAGAUUAGGUAGUAACAACCAUUUGAGUCUGGGAUUUCUGAAUGGGGAAACCCACGUGCAUAAGCACGUAUCAUUAACUGAAUACAUAGGUUAA
rnacentral:rRNA from 1 species